UUAAGCGACUAAGCGUACACGGUGGAUGCCCUGGCAGUCAGAGGCGAUGAAGGACGUGCUAAUCUGCGAUAAGCGUCGGUAAUGUGAUAUGAACCGUUAUAACCGGCGAUUUCCGAAUGGGGAAACCCAGUGUGUUUCGACACACUAUCAUUAACUGAAUCCAUAGGUUAAUGAGGCGAACCGGGGGAACUGAAACAUCUAAGUACCCCGAGGAAAAGAAAUCAACCGAGAUUCCCCCAGUAGCGGCGAGCGAACGGGGAGGAGCCCAGAGCCUGAAUCAGUGUGUGUGUUAGUGGAAGCGUCUGGAAAGGCGCGCGAUACAGGGUGACAGCCCCGUACACAAAAAUGCACAUGCUGUGAGCUCGAUGAGUAGGGCGGGACACGUGGUAUCCUGUCUGAAUAUGGGGGGGACCAUCCUCCAAGGCUAAAUACUCCUGACUGACCGAUAGUGAACCAGUACCGUGAGGGAAAGGCGAAAAGAACCCCGGCGAGGGGAGUGAAAAAGAACCUGAAACCGUGUACGUACAAGCAGUGGGAGCACAGAGCAAUCUGUGUGACUGCGUACCUUUUGUAUAAUGGGUCAGCGACUUAUAUUCUGUAGCAAGGUUAACCGAAUAGGGGAGCCGAAGGGAAACCGAGUCUUAACUGGGCGUUAAGUUGCAGGGUAUAGACCCGAAACCCGGUGAUCUAGCCAUGGGCAGGUUGAAGGUUGGGUAACACUAACUGGAGGACCGAACCGACUAAUGUUGAAAAAUUAGCGGAUGACUUGUGGCUGGGGGUGAAAGGCCAAUCAAACCGGGAGAUAGCUGGUUCUCCCCGAAAGCUAUUUAGGUAGCGCCUCGUGAAUUCAUCUCCGGGGGUAGAGCACUGUUUCGGCAAGGGGGUCAUCCCGACUUACCAACCCGAUGCAAACUGCGAAUACCGGAGAAUGUUAUCACGGGAGACACACGGCGGGUGCUAACGUCCGUCGUGAAGAGGGAAACAACCCAGACCGCCAGCUAAGGUCCCAAAGUCAUGGUUAAGUGGGAAACGAUGUGGGAAGGCCCAGACAGCCAGGAUGUUGGCUUAGAAGCAGCCAUCAUUUAAAGAAAGCGUAAUAGCUCACUGGUCGAGUCGGCCUGCGCGGAAGAUGUAACGGGGCUAAACCAUGCACCGAAGCUGCGGCAGCGACACUGUGUGUUGUUGGGUAGGGGAGCGUUCUGUAAGCCUGUGAAGGUGUGCUGUGAGGCAUGCUGGAGGUAUCAGAAGUGCGAAUGCUGACAUAAGUAACGAUAAAGCGGGUGAAAAGCCCGCUCGCCGGAAGACCAAGGGUUCCUGUCCAACGUUAAUCGGGGCAGGGUGAGUCGACCCCUAAGGCGAGGCCGAAAGGCGUAGUCGAUGGGAAACAGGUUAAUAUUCCUGUACUUGGUGUUACUGCGAAGGGGGGACGGAGAAGGCUAUGUUGGCCGGGCGACGGUUGUCCCGGUUUAAGCGUGUAGGCUGGUUUUCCAGGCAAAUCCGGAAAAUCAAGGCUGAGGCGUGAUGACGAGGCACUACGGUGCUGAAGCAACAAAUGCCCUGCUUCCAGGAAAAGCCUCUAAGCAUCAGGUAACAUCAAAUCGUACCCCAAACCGACACAGGUGGUCAGGUAGAGAAUACCAAGGCGCUUGAGAGAACUCGGGUGAAGGAACUAGGCAAAAUGGUGCCGUAACUUCGGGAGAAGGCACGCUGAUAUGUAGGUGAAGUCCCUCGCGGAUGGAGCUGAAAUCAGUCGAAGAUACCAGCUGGCUGCAACUGUUUAUUAAAAACACAGCACUGUGCAAACACGAAAGUGGACGUAUACGGUGUGACGCCUGCCCGGUGCCGGAAGGUUAAUUGAUGGGGUCAGCGCAAGCGAAGCUCUUGAUCGAAGCCCCGGUAAACGGCGGCCGUAACUAUAACGGUCCUAAGGUAGCGAAAUUCCUUGUCGGGUAAGUUCCGACCUGCACGAAUGGCGUAAUGAUGGCCAGGCUGUCUCCACCCGAGACUCAGUGAAAUUGAACUCGCUGUGAAGAUGCAGUGUACCCGCGGCAAGACGGAAAGACCCCGUGAACCUUUACUAUAGCUUGACACUGAACAUUGAGCCUUGAUGUGUAGGAUAGGUGGGAGGCUUUGAAGUGUGGACGCCAGUCUGCAUGGAGCCGACCUUGAAAUACCACCCUUUAAUGUUUGAUGUUCUAACGUGGACCCGUGAUCCGGGUUGCGGACAGUGUCUGGUGGGUAGUUUGACUGGGGCGGUCUCCUCCUAAAGAGUAACGGAGGAGCACGAAGGUUGGCUAAUCCUGGUCGGACAUCAGGAGGUUAGUGCAAUGGCAUAAGCCAGCUUGACUGCGAGCGUGACGGCGCGAGCAGGUGCGAAAGCAGGUCAUAGUGAUCCGGUGGUUCUGAAUGGAAGGGCCAUCGCUCAACGGAUAAAAGGUACUCCGGGGAUAACAGGCUGAUACCGCCCAAGAGUUCAUAUCGACGGCGGUGUUUGGCACCUCGAUGUCGGCUCAUCACAUCCUGGGGCUGAAGUAGGUCCCAAGGGUAUGGCUGUUCGCCAUUUAAAGUGGUACGCGAGCUGGGUUUAGAACGUCGUGAGACAGUUCGGUCCCUAUCUGCCGUGGGCGCUGGAGAACUGAGGGGGGCUGCUCCUAGUACGAGAGGACCGGAGUGGACGCAUCACUGGUGUUCGGGUUGUCAUGCCAAUGGCACUGCCCGGUAGCUAAAUGCGGAAGAGAUAAGUGCUGAAAGCAUCUAAGCACGAAACUUGCCCCGAGAUGAGUUCUCCCUGACCCUUUAAGGGUCCUGAAGGAACGUUGAAGACGACGACGUUGAUAGGCCGGGUGUGUAAGCGCAGCGAUGCGUUGAGCUAACCGGUACUAAUGAACCGUGAGGCUUAACCUU
rnacentral:rRNA from 1 species